UUAUAGGGACUAAAUGUUGACAUUUUUAAAAGCGAGGACUAAACUGAACAUCAGAACUUAACUUAGGGACCAAAAAAGGGUUUAAACAAAAAGAAAAUAGGAAAAUAGAACUGGGAAGAAAAACGAGAAAGAAAAUUAUCAAUACAUAUAAAACACAAAACCUCAUGAGAGCUCACUGCCCGAAACCUAAAAACAUGAAAUGAGAAAAUGAAAAAGUGUGUCUAGGUCUGCCCCCCUUUGGCAGACAUAACUAGGGCAGAAUCCACAAGUGGGCCUCUCCCAAAAAUGCCAAAAAAUGGCCCAAUGUGCUAAAUCUGUCCAAAAAUGCCCUAAAAACGAAAUUACAUUUUAAAUUAAAUUAAAAUGCCUAUUUGAAGAGUGGUUGUUGAUGUUUUUUCCCUCUUGAAGUC
rnacentral:lncRNA from 1 species